rnacentral:lncRNA from 1 species
GGUCAAUAGACUGAAUCAAGGAUGAUUGGCAGCAGUCAUGCAAAGCAGCAUAGCCUAUUUAACUCAAACCCGUAUUAGCUUUCGAUGAUCUUUGAUUUGAAUCGUGGCAUGGACAAGUGAUGAGGAUUUCGGAAUCAGAAUACCAGUAGCUGGACACAUUUGCUUCUUAACUGUGGCCCUCCUAGCAACAUCCUCCACU